rnacentral:lncRNA from 1 species
CUUUUUCAUAUCUGUGUAAAGGAAAUGGGGGUGGAAGGAUGAGAACAAAGAAGAAGGAAAAGGAUGAAAGGGCAAUUAGGAGAACACAAGAGCCUCGAAGUAGUGAAAUUCAGUAUGUUAAAAAGACUGUGAGCCAAGAUCAUAUCUGUCACCACAGAUAGAAGAACAUGAAGUUCAGACAACUUAAAAUGUUUAUUCAAGAACCUUUCUUAGGCAUAUCUUUCCAAUUUAAGAACUUUAUCCCCCCUGCCAUAUCUACAGUCAUCCUAAGUG